AUUGAACGCUGGCGGCAGGCUUAACACAUGCAAGUCGAGCGAGCGGCGGACGGGUGAGUAAUGUCUGGGAAACUGCCUGAUGGAGGGGGAUAACUACUGGAAACGGUAGCUAAUACCGCAUACCAUCAGAUGUGCCCAGAUGGGAUUAGCUAGUAGGUGGGGUAAUGGCUCACCUAGGCGACGAUCCCUAGCUGGUCUGAGAGGAUGACCAGCCCGACUUGAACUGAAACAAGGGCCAGAAUCCUACGGGGGGGAGGAGGGGGGAAUUUUUGACAAUUGGGGCAAGGCCUAUGCAGCCAUGGCGGGUGUGUGAAGGAGGCCUUCGGGGUGGAAAACACUUUCAGCGGGGAGGAGUUACCUGCAGAAGGAGGACCGGCUUACUCCGUGCCAGCAGCCGCGGUAAUUC
rnacentral:rRNA from 1 species